rnacentral:SRP_RNA from 3 species
UCGUUAGACCUGUGCAAGGGUAUGUACUGACAACGUGUCAGGGUAGGAAUACAGCAGCACAUCGGUGCGUAUUUUGUGCCGCAGGUAUCUGGCGGGGA